rnacentral:rRNA from 1 species
GAUGAACGCUAGCUACAGGCUUAACACAUGCAAGUCGAGGGGUAGCAGGGUAGCAAUACCGCUGACGACCGGCGCACGGGUGAGUAACACGUAUCCAACCUUCCCAUAACUCUGGGAUAGCCUUUCGAAAGAAAGAUUAAUACCGGAUGGUACUUUUUCAAGGCAUCUUGAGAAAGUUAAAGAUUUAUUGGUUAUGGAUGGGGAUGCGUUCCAUUAGAUAGUUGGUGAGGUAACGGCUCACCAAGUCUUCGAUGGAUAGGGGUUCUGAGAGGGAGGUCCCCCACAUUGGUACUGAGACACGGACCAAACUCCUACGGGAGGCAGCAGUGAGGAAUAUUGGUCAAUGGGCGAGAGCCUGAACCAGCCAAGUAGCGUGAAGGAUGAAGGUCCUAUGGAUUGUAAACUUCUUUUAUAGUAGAAUAAAGUGUUCCACGUGUGGAUUUUUGUAUGUAUACUAUGAAUAAGGAUCGGCUAACUUCGUGCCAGCCGCCGCAGUAAAAC